rnacentral:rRNA from 1 species
CAAGGUCUCCGUUGGUGAACCAGCGGAGGGAUCAUUACC